UCAAAAUGGGUCACAACCCGUGAGUCAACCCGGCCUGCCACGGGUUUGGGUUGGGUUGGGUUUGAAAAAAUUGAAGUUUUUUAUGCGGGUCAGAUUUCAACCCGACUCAUUUAAACCUGGCUCAUGCGGGUUAAACCCGUGGUGGGCCGGGUUGGCCCGCCAAUCCACCUACCUAAUUUUAUUUUUUUAAUUUAUUAUUUUAUUUAUGAAACCCUAAAAAAUAAAAUACUCUCUUCAUUCAGUGUGUAUACCAAAAAAGUAAUCUUUGCUCUCACAGAUCACUCUCACGGAACUUGCUCUCAUUUACGGUGCUGUCAC
rnacentral:lncRNA from 1 species